UUAACUCAAAUUUGUAUGGAGUUGCAUCGUUAGAAUACGUUUGCCGCGAGGGGCGCUGUUCCAACUGCAUACAAAUUUCAGUUA
rnacentral:pre_miRNA from 1 species